rnacentral:rRNA from 1 species
GGCUUAACCUGGGAACUGCAUUCGAAACUGGCAGGCUAGAGUCUUGUAGAGGGGGGUAGAAUUCCAGGUGUAGCGGUGAAAUGCGUAGAGAUCUGGAGGAAUACCGGUGGCGAAGGCGGCCCCCUGGACAAAGACUGACGCUCAGGUGCGAAAGCGUGGGGAGCAAACAGGAUUAGAUACCCUGGUAGUCCACGCCGUAAACGAUGUCGAUUUGGAGGUUGUGCCCUUGAGGCGUGGCUUCCGGAGCUAACGCGUUAAAUCGACCGCCUGGGGAGUACGGCCGCAAGGUUAAAACUCAAAUGAAUUGACGGGGGCCCGCACAAGCGGUGGAGCAUGUGGUUUAAUUCGAUGCAACGCGAAGAACCUUACCUGGUCUUGAC